ACGGGUGAGUAAUGUCUGGGAAACUGCCUGAUGGAGGGGGAUAACUACUGGAAACGGUAGCUAAUACCGCAUGACCUCGUAAGAGCAAAGUGGGGGACCUUCGGGCCUCACGCCAUCGGAUGUGCCCAGAUGGGAUUAGCUAGUAGGUGAGGUAAUGGCUCACCUAGGCGACGAUCCCUAGCUGGUCUGAGAGGAUGACCAGCCACACUGGAACUGAGACACGGUCCAGACUCCUACGGGAGGCAGCAGUGGGGAAUAUUGCACAAUGGGCGCAAGCCUGAUGCAGCCAUGCCGCGUGUGUGAAGAAGGCCUUAGGGUUGUAAAGCACUUUCAGCGAGGAGGAAGGGUUCAGUGUUAAUAGCACUGUGCAUUGACGUUACUCGCAGAAGAAGCACCGGCUAACUCCGUGCCAGCAGCCGCGGUAAUACGGAGGGUGCAAGCGUUAAUCGGAAUUACUGGGCGUAAAGCGCACGCAGGCGGUUUGUUAAGUCAGAUGUGAAAUCCCCGAGCUUAACUUGGGAACUGCAUUUGAAACUGGCAAGCUAGAGUCUUGUAGAGGGGGGUAGAAUUCCAGGUGUA
rnacentral:rRNA from 1 species